rnacentral:rRNA from 1 species
GAUGAACGCUAGCGGGAGGCUUAACACAUGCAAGUCGAGGGGCAGCAUAAGGUAGCAAUACUUUGAUGGCGACCGGCGCACGGGUGAGUAACGCGUAUGUAACCUGUCCUUAACAGGAGGAUAACCCGGAGAAAUUCGGACUAAUACUGCAUAAAAUUAUAAAUAGGCAUCUAUUAAUAAUUAAAGCUACGGCGGUUAGGGAGGGGCAUGCGUAACAUUAGCUGGUUGGUAGGGUAACGGCCUACCAAGGCAAUGAUGUUUAGGGGACCUGAGAGGGUGACCCCCCACACUGGUACUGAGACACGGACCAGACUCCUACGGGAGGCAGCAGUGAGGAUAUGGUCAAUGGGCGCAGCCUGAACCAGCCAUCCCGCGUGAAGGAAGAAUGCGCUAUGCGUUGUAAACUUCUUUUCUAGGGGAUAAAUUCUAGUAUGUAUACAGGACUGAAGGUACCCUGAGAAUAAGACAUCGGCUAACUCCGUGCCAGCAGCCGCGGUAACUCUAGUCUACG